UGGGGAAUAUUGCACAAUGGGCGAAAGCCUGAUGCAGCAACGCCGCGUGAGUGAUGAAGGUCUUCGGAUUGUAAAGCUCUGUCUUUUGGGACGAUAAUGACGGUACCAAAGGAGGAAGCCACGGCUAACUACGUGCCAGCAGCCGCGGUAAUACGUAGGUGGCGAGCGUUGUCCGGAUUUACUGGGCAUAAAGGGUGCGUAGGCGGAUGUUUAAGUGAGAUGUGAAAUACCCGGGCUUAACUUGGGUGCUGCAUUUCAAACUGGAUAUCUAGAGUGCAGGAGAGGAGAAUGGAAUUCCUAGUGUAGCGGUGAAAUGCGUAGAGAUUAGGAAGAACACCAGUGGCGAAGGCGAUUCUCUGGACUGUAACUGACGCUGAGGCACGAAAGCGUGGGUAGCAAACAGGAUUAGAUACCCUGGUAGUCCACGCCGUAAACGAUGAGUACUAGGUGUAGGAGGUAUCGACCCCUUCUGUGCCGCAGUAAACACAUUAAGUACUCCGCCUGGGAAGUACGAUCGCAAGAUUAAAACUCUAAAGUGAAUUGAC
rnacentral:rRNA from 1 species